rnacentral:pre_miRNA from 1 species
UUUAAGUGUAUUUGUGGAUUUUCGUAUCAAACAUUUUACCAUCCAUCUUAUUUGAUUUUUUUAUUAGUAUUUUUGUUGCUAUUAGAUGAUAAAACAUAAAUAAUACUUUAUACGUGACUUUUUUAACUUUUUAUAUUUUUUAAAUAAAAUAGAACGUUGGACAUAGAAACCCACGGCU